rnacentral:rRNA from 1 species
CUACGGGUGGCUGCAGUGGGGAAUAUUGCACAAUGGAGGAAACUCUGAUGCAGCAACGCCGCGUGGAGGAUGACACUUUUCGGAGCGUAAACUCCUUUUAUAUAGGUAGAUAAUGACGGUACUAUAUGAAUAUGCACCGGCUAACUCCGUGCCAGCAGCCGCGGUAAUAAGGAGGGUGCAAGCGUUACUCGGAAUCACUGGGCGUAAAGAGCGUGUAGGCGGAUAGAUAAGUCAGGAGUGAAAUCCUAUGGCUCAACCAUAGAACUGCUCUUGAAACUGUCUAUCUAGAAUAUGGGAGAGGUAGAUGGAAUUUCUGGUGUAGGGGUAAAAUCCGUAGAGAUCAGAAGGAAUACCGAUUGCGAAGGCGAUCUACUGGAACAUUAUUGACGCUGAGACGCGAAAGCGUGGGGAGCAAACAGGAUUAGAUACCCCUGUAGUC